CGCCUUUAGCCGCCUGCCACGGGGAGUGGGACACGCGUCGGAUGCGGACUGGCCUGGGGGGAUUCGAGAUCAUUAUGGCGCCGGAUCCCAGGGUCUAUUUAAACCCGUCCUCCCCCCUUCAGGCAUCCCACUCUAUUUCUGAUUUUUUGCUGGCGUCUGUCAUCUCCCCGAGAGUCUGCUCUAGCGAACGCCCUCUCGAGCCGUAGGCGCCUUCCGUUUCUCGCUCCCGGGUCCCCAGUGCAAGAUAGGUUAGUGCCAACCUUCUUCUUCUUACCGCCUAGGGGCUUCUCCUCUUUUCAUUUCUUUUGUGUCUUCUUCUGAGUUGACCUUCGGCGUCUCGUUCCCUUCUCGGUUUGCCUUUCUAGGGUCCUUUAGGUUCUCCCCCCAAAAAAAUGUCUUCCGACUCUUCUGCCCCCGUAAGUUCUGGG
rnacentral:lncRNA from 1 species